rnacentral:rRNA from 1 species
AUUGAACGCUGGCGGCAUGCCUUACACAUGCAAGUCGAACGGCAGCACGGGAGCUUGCUCCUGGUGGCGAGUGGCGAACGGGUGAGUAAUGCAUCGGAACGUGCUCUGAAGUGGGGGAUAACGUAGCGAAAGUUACGCUAAUACCGCAUAUUCUGUGAGCAGGAAAGCAGGGGGAUCUUCGGACCUUGCGCUUUUUGGAGCGGCCGAUGUCGGAUUAGCUAGUUGGUGGGGUAAAGGCCCACCAAGGCGACGAUCCGUAGCGGGUCUGAGAGGAUGAUCCGCCACACUGGAACUGAGACACGGUCCAGACUCCUACGGGAGGCAGCAGUGGGGAAUUUUGGACAAUGGGCGCAAGCCUGAUCCAGCCAUGCCGCGUGAGUGAAGAAGGCCUGGUU